UUGGUGCUUUGGACGGGGAGGAGAUGGCUUUCCCGUGGUGAGGUCACACAGGCAACGCUGCGGGCAGAGUCUACAGCUGAGUUAUCCUUGUUUGCUUGUUCUUGUAUCAUGGGUAUUGGCUUCGGUCACUGGGUUCUUUGUGAAAAUCUCUUGAAGCUGCUCAGGUCCCUAAUGAAGAGUCCGUGCUGAUUAGACUUGUCAACCUGACCCAAACUAGAAUCGUUUGAGAUGAGGGAGCCUCAGUUAAAGAAUCACCUCCAUCAGACUGGACUUUAGGCGAGCCUUGCUGCAUUUUCUUGGUUGAUUGACUCGGGAGGGCCCAUUCCCUGCGGGUGAUGCCACCCUAGGCUGGUGGCUCUGGGCUGUAUAAGAAAGCCAGUUGGGCAACCUGUAGGGGGCAAGCCAGCAACCCAUGUCUCUCCGUGGCCUCUGCUUCACUUUCUGCCUCCCGGUUCCUCCCUUGAGUUCCUGACCUGAUUUCCUCCAUUGACGAACUGUUACCUGGAACUAUAAGAUGAAACAAACCCUUUCCUGCCCGGGUUGUUUUCUUUGGUCAGUGUUCUGACACAGCACCAAAGACGCUACCUAAAACUGCUCCUUUUAGUGAACUAUUUAUUAUUAUCACUGUGCUGCCAAAUAAAGAGCAAUUUUUCGGAGGUUAA